CCGAGUUUGCAAAGCUCCGAAACCCCGUGUGAACGUUACCUCCCCUCUCGUUGCUUCGGCGGUGCCGCCCCGGGCGCGGGCCUCUCGUCAGGCCGCCAGCCCCGGACCCAGGCGCCCGCCGGGGGACCCCGAACUCCUGUAUUGCGUGGCGGCUUCUUCUGAGUUUUCGCGCUCGGCGCGCGGGAAAGACCGAAUGAAUCA
rnacentral:misc_RNA from 1 species